GUAAACGCCUUCCUCCUCCUCCUCCUCCCACGCCAUUACCUCCACCUCCACCUCCAGGACCAAGCCAAGAAUCACAGAAACUGCCUCAGGAGUCACAUCCCAAUGAGUAUGCUGGAGGGCUGGUGGUGGCAGGACAAGGAGGUGAUAAUGAUGCAUGCAGUUCUGGGGAUGGCGCAUUCUCAGAGCUUGAGCAGCUCUUGAAGCAGAAGACAUUUACAAAAACUGAGAUUGAUCGCUUGACGGAACUUUUGCACUCGAAAGCUGUUGACAUCCCUAUGGGAGAAGAGGAGAAAAGAGCCGAGGCGAUUCAAUCAAGACCUGCGUUGGAUUCUUCCAGCAGCUUGCUGGAAGUAAAUAGGUCUCUGAAGGUUACACCCGGUGGAUAUGUCCCAACUCCUGUCAUGAAUUCCAGGAUUCUUGAAGAUGAUAUUGCAUCUCCCGCAGAGCUUGCAAAAGCCUACAUGGGGAGUAGGCCAUCAAAG
rnacentral:misc_RNA from 1 species